CCUACGGGAGGCAGCAGUGGGGAAUAUUGCACAAUGGGCGAAAGCCUGAUGCAGCAACGCCGCGUGAGCGAUGAAGGCCUUCGGGUCGUAAAGCCCUGUCCUCAAGGAAGAUAAUGACGGUAUCUGAGGAGGAAGCACCGGCUAACUACGUGCCAGCAGCCGCGGUAAUACGUAGGGGGCUAGCGUUAUCCGGAAUCACUGGGCGUAAAGGGUGCGUAGGGGGGUUCUUAAGUCAGAGGUGAAAGGCUACGGCUAAACCGUAGUAAGCCUUUGAAACUGGGGAACUUGAGUGCAGGAGAGGAGAGUGGAAUUCCUGGUGUAGCGGUAAAAUGCGUAGAGAUCACGCAGAACCCUGAUUGCGAAGGCGGCCUGC
rnacentral:rRNA from 1 species